UACAGAGGUCUCAAGCGUUGUUCGGAUUCAUUGGGCGUAAAGGGUGCGUAGGCGGCGCGGUAAGUCGGGUGUGAAAUCUCGGGGCUUAACUCCGAAACUGCAUUCGAUACUGCCGUGCUUGAGGACUGGAGAGGAGACUGGAAUUUACGGUGUAGCGGUGAAAUGCGUAGAUAUCGUAAGGAAGACCAGUGGCGAAGGCGGCAUCCUGGACCGGCAUUGACGCUGAGGAGCGAAAGCCAGGGGAGCAAACGGG
rnacentral:rRNA from 1 species